UGCAAGUCGAGCGGAGAUGAGGUGCUUGCACCUUAUCUUAGCGGCGGACGGGUGAGUAAUGCUUAGGAAUCUGCCUGGUAGUGGGGGAUAACGUUCGGAAACGGACGCUAAUACCGCAUACGUCCUACGGGAGAAAGCAGGGGACCUUCGGGCCUUGCGCUAUCAGAUGAGCCUAGGUCGGAUUAGCUGGUUGGUGAGGUAAUGGCUCACCAAGGCAACGAUCCGUAACUGGUCUGAGAGGAUGAUCAGCCACAUCGGGACUGAGACACGGCCCGAACUCCUACGGGAGGCAGCAGUGGGGAAUAUUGGACAAUGGGGGAAACCCUGAUCCAGCCAUGCCGCGUGUGUGAAGAAGGCCCUCGGGUUGUAAAGCACUUUCAGCGAGGAAGAACGCCUAGCGGUUAAUACCCGCUAGGAAAGACAUCACUCGCAGAAGAAGCACCGGCUAACUCCGUGCCAGCAGCCGCGGUAAU
rnacentral:rRNA from 1 species